rnacentral:rRNA from 1 species
CCAGCAGGGUAAUUCCAGCUCCAAUAGCGUAUAUUAAAGUUGUUGCAGUUAAAACGCUCGUAGUCUGAUGUAAUGGGGAUUGGAGUGGGGAGCAGCGAUGCUCUUUGCUUUGGUCCUCAUCAAGGGGGCAGCAAUGUCCCAUUUUACUUUGAGGAAAUUAGAGUGUUCAAAGCAGGCGAUUGCUUGAAUACUGCAGCAUGGAAUAAUGGAUUAGGACUCGCGUCUUAUUUUGUUGGUUUAGAGAUGUGAGUAAUGAUGAAUAGGGACAGUUGGGGGCAUUGGUAUUCAGUAGUCAGAGGUGAAAUUCUUGGAUUUACUGAAGACUAACUAGUGCGAAAGCAUUUGCCAAG